CUUCAUGGUCACGGAGCCAUCCAGUUUCUCCAGCUCACCAAGUAAUGCUGACAGCAAGGAGGACUUCCCAGCACCCACCUGGCCAACUACAGCAAGCAAAGAGCCUUGGGGCACGAAUUCAACAUUAAAUAUGAAGUGAACUCAGAAGCCUCUGGACAUUCCACACUGGCCCUACAGAGUUGAGAGAUGACUAAGACAAAAUAUACCUGAAACUGACUCCUCUUCUUGGUGAUCACAAAAUUCAGAGGCAGAAGAAAAAGGAAUACAGCAAUUGCAGUCAAGGCAGAUGGCCCUAGAAGCUGCCAGGAACUAGAUUAGUGCUGAAGGUGAUCCAGCAGCACACUGGCAAUUCCAGCCAUUCCUCUUUCUUCCCGUGUCCUUGGAUGCGUUAAGGAGGACAUCUUGUGGCUGGCUUAAGCAACAAUUUCUUCAGAGGAGUCCUCUUUCCUCACUGGCCACAAGUCAUCCACCCCCAAGGACUGCUGAGAGCCUUUCCAGAGAAGCCUGGAGAACACACAGACUGCAGUCAGAGAACCACCAGUAUGUGAUUUUGGAAAGAAAAGAGCUUCUGGCUUCUGGACAGUGAUUCUGAUGGGAGAGAAAACGUGUGAUAUUUAUAUAUAGAAAAGUGCAUGUGUCAGAUGAAUAUAAUUCCCUUCUGUGCUCCCCCAGGAAAAGCAAUCAAAGAGUUACCCCCACCCCUCAAUUCACUGACCCAGACAGAAAAUUUGUCAUACCCAUACCAUCAAGUACUGCUGCACAGGAGAGCAGCAACAGGGGAAGCAAUAGGAGCCCUGUCUGCUGGUUUCAAUGAUAAGAAACAUGAGUAUGGAUAAAAGGGCAUGUUGAAUUUUGAAACUAAACAUCACAACUGCAGCCACAAACGAGAGCAGCCAAUAAAUCAACAGGACCCCUGAAGACUGGAUGCCCAUCAUUC